rnacentral:tRNA from 1 species
GGGUGAUUAGCUCAGAUGGGAGAGCACCUCCCUUACAAGGAGGGGGUCGGCGGUUCGAUCCCGUCAUCACCCACUA